CCCUUAGAUGUUCUGGGCCGCACGCGCGCUACACUGAUGCAUUCAACGAGUCUAAAACCUGGUCUGAUAGGGCUGGGUAAUCUUUUGAAUGUGCAUCGUGAUUGGGAUAGAUGAUUGCAAUUCUUCAUCUUCAACGAGGAAUGCCUAGUAAACGCAAGUCAUCAGCUUGCAUUGAUUACGUCCCUGCCCUUUGUACACACCGCCCGUCGCUCCUACCGAUUGAACGAUCCGAUGAAAACUGUGGAUUGAGAGUCUGAGUGGGUUCGCCUACCUCAACUUUCGAGAAGCGGUUUAAAUCUUAUCGUUUAGAGGAAGGAGAAGUCGUAACA
rnacentral:rRNA from 1 species